UGAUACCUCCACUGCUGCAGGCUGAAACCAUAGGCUGAUGAAGAAGGGGACAAUCAAAGGCAUUUCUGCAUGUCUUCCAGUAUUGUGCAAAUGUGAGACUGGAAGAAUAUGACCCUUGGCACACCAAGAAUUUUCUCAGCACACUGAGCACACAUGAAAGCAGAAUGUUCUGGUUUGUCCACUUUCUCGGAAGCUUUAAGAGACAGGCUUUAAUAAGUAACAUAUAAGUAGAGCAGUGUUUUUCAAAUCACUUCUUGUUUUGCUCAUUCGGAUAAACAUCCAUCAUUGCUACGUGCUUUUGUCAACAAAUAAAUAUGAGGAGAAACAAGGACUUGGGCUGCGGUUUCAGAAACCCAGUUCUCUGGCUCCUAACACACUCUCAUUUCUGGUGGCCUGUUCUUUCCCAGCUCUGAUCAGCAACAUUUGGCAUAGUCGGUAAGAUCAAAGAGGCAGAGAGACAGCUUCAUCAGAUACCAAAAGGGAAAACGGCUGCUCAGAGCUACUACUGGACAUAUCAACACCAGGAGACACCACAACUGCUCCAAGAAUCCUCUGGGAUCCCACUCAGCACCAGAGGCUCAUGUCUGUAAUCUUAGCUACUCAAGAGGCAGCUAUCAAGAGGAAUAAUGGUUCAAAGCCAGUCCAGGUAAAUAGUUCACAAGAUCCUGCCUUAAAAAUAUCCAAUACACACACAA
rnacentral:lncRNA from 1 species